UAAACUUAAGGGCUGGUCUUUAUAAGUAAAAAGGCGUAAAGGAUGUGUAGGCCAAGAAACGACCCAAGUAGGUAAAUGGAAUUUUUCUGGAGCGGUAGAAUGUGAGGAUAGAAAAUAGAACCCCUAAGGUAAAAACUAUUUACCACAAGGUAGGCUGAAACAUGAGAGUGUGGGGAGCAAACAGGAUUAGAGACCCUGGUAGUCCACACUGUGAACUUUGAAGAUGAUGCUUAGCAGACCCGAAAGGUAAAAUCUUCCGCCUGAGUAGUACGAUCGCAAGAUUAAAACUCAAAAACUUUGGCUGUUCACUAUUUCGAUUAGAGGAGCGUGUAGUUUAAUUCGAUGGUCCGCGUGUUACCUUACCCCAACUUGAAUCUGUGACCGGUAUUGCAUGGCCGUCGUAAGUUCGUGUAUUAAGCUAGAAGGGACCCAACCCGGGCAUUUGCCCGGAGGAAGUCAGGUCUUAUGAUCCGAAUGUUGGGGGAUUUUAUGCGCUACAUUUUCUUAUAUAAUGAGAAACCUGAAAGGUGAGUCUCUAAAGUAAGAGUUCGGAAGGUCGCUGUAAGACGACUGGAAGUUGGAUUUAAUAGUAAUC
rnacentral:rRNA from 1 species